GAUGAAGAACGUAGCGAAAUGCGAUAAGUAAUGUGAAUUGCAGAAUUCAGUGAAUCAUCGAAUCUUUGAACGCACAUUGCGCCCAUCAGUAUUCUGUUGGGCAUGCCUGUCCGAGCGUCAUUUCAACCCUCAGGGCCCGUUCGCGGGAACUGGUGUUGGGGAUCGGCCUCCCCCCGGAGGCCGGCCCCGAAAUGCAGUGGCGGCUCUACCGCGAUCUCCUCUGUGUAGUAGCGAUACCUCGCAGCUGGAUAGUGGUGGUGCCACGCCGUAAAAUCCCAACUUUACCAAGGUUGACCUCGGAUCAGGUAGGAAUACCCGCUGAACUUAAGCAUAUCAAUAAGCGGGGA
rnacentral:misc_RNA from 1 species